UACGUAGGCGGAAAAUUAAGUCAGUAGUGAAAUCCUGCAGCUUAACUGUAGAACUGUUAUUGAUACUGGUUUUCUUGAAUAUAGUUGAGGUAGGCGGAAUGUGUAAUGUAGCGGUGAAAUGCUUAGAUAUUACACAGAACACCGAUUGGGAAGGCAGCUUACUAAGCUAUGAUUGACGCUGAGGUACGAAAGCGUGGGGAGCGAACAGGAUUAGAUACCCUGGUAGUCC
rnacentral:rRNA from 1 species